rnacentral:tRNA from 1 species
CGGUUGCUUUGGACGAUGUUCGUCGUCGCCUGUCUCGUCGCGACAGCGCCCGUGACCGUGGUUUCCGCGGGCGCGGUUCCCGCUGCGUCCGG